rnacentral:rRNA from 1 species
AUUGAACGCUGGCGGCAGGCCUAACACAUGCAAGUCGAGCGGAUGAAGAGAGCUUGCUCUCUGAUUCAGCGGCGGACGGGUGAGUAGUGCCUAGGAAUCUGCCUGGUAGUGGGGGACAACGUUUCGAAAGGAACGCUAAUACCGCAUACGUCCUACGGGAGAAAGCAGGGGACCUUCGGGCCUUGCGCUAUCAGAUGAGCCUAGGUCGGAUUAGCUAGUAGGUGAGGUAAUGGCUCACCUAGGCGACGAUCCGUAACUGGUCUGAGAGGAUGAUCAGUCACACUGGAACUGAGACACGGUCCAGACUCCUACGGGAGGCAGCAGUAGGGAAUAUUGGACAAUGGGCGAAAGCCUGAUCCAGCCAUGCCGCGUGUGUGAAGAAGGUCUUCGGAUUGUAAAGCACUUUAAGUUGGGAGGAAGGGCAGUAAGUUAAUACCUUGCUGUUUUGACGUUACCAACAGAAUAAGCACCGGCUAACUUCGUGCCAGCCGCCGCAGUAAUAC